UCUGCCAAUAUGCAUUCCUGUAUUUACAGAUAACCCACAGCAUAUGGCAUUUCUUUCCUGGCAGGUAUUAUGUGUGAGGCUCAGUUAUUGCAGUGGAGGAGAAGGAAACCCAAACAGAAGGUGCAAACCUAUAGGAAGUAGGCAUUCUCUAUUUCCUCCUUGGAGUCUGCAUUCCUGGGGCAGGGAUAAGUGGAAAGAACAGGCUUGCAAGCCCACAGACUGUGCACUGAACCAGCCUUCUCCUUCUCUAAUCAAUGUCAUCACCACUUUAAGAAAAACAACUGGUCCUGUAGUUUUCCCAGUGUAAAAGAUUGUGUUCCCUGGAUCCACCCAGGAUCUGUGGCACCAGCCCUUCUCUUAUGUGCCAUGCACAGAGAAGAUUUAAACGUUCUCCAGAUGAUUCUGGGCAUACCUCAGUGUCCAGGUCCUUCAGUGAAUCUUACCCUGGAAUCAAGAAGAGCAAUGGACUCUAUUAUAAAAUGUUGUGCCAAGAGUAGCUGUGUUGAUACCCUCCUUCCUUUUUGCCCUCAGAAGAAGGGCAAAAAUUGCCACCAUGAAGCAGAUCAUUCAUGCUGGGGAUGAAUGCCAUUGCUUUUGUAUGUUUCAAAUUUUUUGCAGAUUCCAAAAUUCCCCAUGAUGAUCUGGGAAGGUGUCUGUCACUCCAAUUUGCUCUGCAAUGAUAUUGACAGGAUUACUCUGUAAAACUGUAACAGAUCUGAAAUUAGAAAAAUGAGUACUUGAGUUCUCACCAGGCAAUGUAGGAGGGACCUCAAUAUUUUCUUUUGGGGCAGCUGUAAUGCCUUUGUUUUGCCCUGAGUUGGCUGCACUAGAAAAGAAAUGUUUUUGUGGUCAAAAACAACAAAAAGGAUUUUCUUAUCAAAAAGUUUGUUGUCUAGAAGUGGUUUGUCUGUGAAGUUCAGUUUUAUGGUCUGUUUUCAGCUUCUUGGUACUCUGAUGACUUUAAGAUAUGUAUCAAGCAGAAAUUGUAUCUCCUCUGGUGGAAAUUUUGUAUUUUUUCAUCUUCUACCUAUGGCUGAGAUCUUGCACCAUUGAGCAAUCUACAGAACCUUAAUUCCUUGACUUUGUUUUUAAUUAUCCUGCCUGAUGAAACAGGAGCCCAUUAUUUAAUUAUCUCUCCCACACAUACCCUCAACUAUAGUCACCAUUAUUUUAUGCAGCACCCUUCUUUCCUUUUGGAUGUCCUGGAUUCCUGGUCUGAAGAGCUUUAAUCACACAACCAUAACUACUUGAUUUUAGCAGGUUUUACACUGGCAUUUCAAAUGAUUUGAUUAAUAAAUGACAACUUGUGUAAAGCCUGAAGACCA
rnacentral:lncRNA from 1 species